GACAGAGGGCGCAAGCGUUGUUCGGAAUUACUGGGCGUAAAGGGCGCGUAGGCGGCGCAACAAGUCACUUGUGGAAACUCUCCAGGCUUAACCCGGAGCGGCCAAGUGAUACUGUCGUGCUAGAGUGGCAGAAGGGGCAACUGGAAUUCUCGGUGUAGCGGUGAAAUGCGUAGAUAUCGAGAGGAACACCUGCGGCGAAGGCGGGUUGCUGGGCUGACACUGACGCUGAUGCGCGAAAGCGUAGGGGAGCGAACGGG
rnacentral:rRNA from 1 species